AAGAAUUAAUUAGUCUGAAGCUAUGUUUAGUUUAUGUUUAAAAUGUAGAGUUGGUUAAGUUAGAAGAAACUGCCUUUUGAAUGUGAGCCAUAGCCAUAGGCGUUUUUGUGAAAGAGAGUUACCAAAUUAGUCGGUUUCUGUUAUCCCCAUUUUAGGCUUCCUUUCCUUCCACCCCCAUGGCCCCCUCCUCUUCUCUCUCCCUCCUCUCUUUCUCUCUCUACGCCUUUCAUCUUCUCCGCAGCAAGCUUUGUUAAUGUAUUUUAAUGGCAUCGCAGGAUAAAGGCCGUCCCUUGCCGAAAUUCGGCGAGUGGGAUGUCAACAAUCCGGCCUCAGCCGAAGGCUUUACAGUAAUAUUUAGCAAAGCUAGAGAUGAGAAGAAGUCAAAUGAGGCACCUGGGAAUAAAGCAGCAAAAAACAAUACCAGACCAGAACAAGAUUAUGACUAUCCCCCAAUGAAAAAAUGGUUUUGCUGUUUCUGAAACUGCUAGGGAGUGGUGGUGGUGGUGGUGGCAUGGUGCAAGAAAACUUAAAGAUAAUUCUGAUAUAUGAGUGAGAUGCAGAAUCAAGUAGGGAUGUGCUGGUUUAAUUCCUCUCUCUCUCUCUCUUCUCUCUCUCUCUCUGUACCUCUUACUAUACAUGCAAUAUAGAAUACAAAAUUUUCAUGGAAAGCAUAUAGAAGUUGGGCGACCGUUCUAGCUCCCUCCCUGUAAGUUUCGCUCUAAUAGAAACUUUUUGCUUCUUUCA